rnacentral:rRNA from 1 species
UACAGAGGGGGCAAGCGUUGUUCGGAAUUACUGGGCGUAAGGGCGCGUAGGCGGCCCGCUAAGUCGAACGUGAAAUCCCCGAGCUCAACUCGGGAACUGCGUCCGAUACUGGCGGGCUUGAAUCCGGGAGAGGGAUGCGGAAUUCCAGGUGUAGCGGUGAAAUGCGUAGAUAUCUGGAGGAACACCGGUGGCGAAGGCGGCAUCCUGGACCGGCAUUGACGCUGAGGCGCGAAAGCUAGGGGAGCAAACGGG